rnacentral:lncRNA from 1 species
UAAGGUGUGGCUGGUAGAGAAAUGGUGAAAUGAGAGGAAGAAAGGGUAAGGCUGCAGAAGACGCUGGCUUCGCCCCUGCCCCACGGAAACCUCAGAGCUUCUCUUUGAUCUGCACUUUGGCCGCAGAACUCACUGGCUGUACCCACUGUCAUUCUCUCCAGCGGGCAUAGACUGGCGCUGAGUGAAACUAGCCCACAAUCCUUGUAAAUCACUGCUUUCCAUUCAUGCUUAUUUCGCUAAUGCCACCGCUCAGCCACUGUCUUGAUUAAUGCAGGAAAAAGGAGGUUACAAUUAAGUGAGAUGAUUUUGCACCCAGGAAAUAGCAGAUGAGUUGGAUAAACUGCACAGUUAUUGGUGAGUAAAGAAGCAGAUUUAAGCUGCCCUUGGGUACUGGAAACAGGAAGCUCAGAGAGACCUUGGAGCAACUGCUCCUCUCUUACAAAGCCUUUGGUAAUUGUGAAGAGGAAAAACGUAUGUGUUGUGCAGACGAAGUGGAGCACAUGCAAUUUGAGAUUCAGAUGCUGAAAAGCAGGGAAAGGAGCCUGUCUCAUGCUCUGGAUUAUCCUGUUGCCAGUCCAUGAGCAAGAACUUGGCCAGCCUGUCCAAUAGGACGUUCAACAUCAAUCUUAUUCUAGCUUGUCUCGGGGAUGCUUUCCCGAAUGUUCGUAAGCACUAUUCAAAUGCCAAAAGCCAUGAAAAGGAUUAUUUGCUUGGGACACCAUGCCCAUUUUCUGCUAAUGCAGAAAUGUCAUCAUACAAGAUGGCCACAUAUUAAACACAGAGAGAGGCAAGUUUUGGGGAGUGUGCACCUAGGGAAGCAGUUCUCAAAGCAUGGUCUAGGGAACCCUGCAAGUCCUUGAGGCCUUUUUACAGGGGAUCUGAGAUAUUGAGACAUUAUUUAACUUGUUCACUCUUAUUCUCUCUCAAACACACAGUAGAGUUUUUCAGAAAGUGCAUGACAUGACAUGGCAACAGACUGAAUGUAGAAGCAGAUAUGAAAUCCAACCACCUCCCAUUAAUUCAGACACUAAACAGAGCUGCAGUAAAGUAAAACAAUGACACUAUUUUGAAAAAUAUUUUUCAAUAAUAAGAAUUUAUGAAAAAGACAAGAGGCAACAAAUGUUGGCAACAAUAGGGAGAAAAGGAAAACCUAGUAUAAUGUUGGGGGGAAUGUAGACUGGUACAGUCAUGGAUAACAGUACAGAGAGUCCUACAGAAAUUAAAGUUGGAAUGAUCAUAGGACCCAGUGAUCCCUCUUCUGGGCAUAUACUCAAGAGAGACAAGCUCAUCACUUCAAAAAGAUAGCUGCACUCCCGUGUUCACUGUGGCAUUAUUCACAAUAGCCAAGAUAUGGAUACAAACUAAAUGCCCACUGAUGAACGAACCAAUAAAGAAAAUGUGGUGUGUGUAUAUAUAUAUAUAUAUAUAUAUAUAUAUAUAUAUAUAUAUAUAUACACAUAUAUAUAUAUAUGCAUGAUGGAAUAUUAUUCAGCCUUAGAAAAGGAGAUCCUUCCAUUUGCCACAUCAUGGAUGGACCAAGAAGACAUUAUGUACAGUGAAGUAAGCCAGACAAAGAAAGAAAAAUAUUGCAUGAUCUCACUUAUAUGUGGAAUUUAAAAAGCUCAAAUACACAGAGAUAGAGAAUGAAACAAUGAUUACCAUGAGUAGGCGGUAAAGGGUGGGGGAGAGAAAACGGAAAGAUGUAGGUCAAAGGAUACAAAACAGCAAAUAUGUAGGAUGAACAAGCCUAGAAAUCUAAUGUACACCGUGAGGACUACAGUUAAUAAAAUUGUAUUAUAUUAGGGAUUUUUGUUGAACAAGUAAAUUUUCUUUUUUAAGCCAGUCACACUUAGAUUUUUAGCU